rnacentral:rRNA from 1 species
UACAGAGGGGGCAAGCGUUGUUCGGAAUUACUGGGCGUAAAGGGCGCGUAGGUGGCCUUCUAAGUUGAACGUGAAAUCCCUGGGCUCAACCCGGGAACUGCGUCCAAGACUGGGAGGCUUGAAUCCGGGAGAGGGAUGCGGAAUUCCAGGUGUAGCGGUGAAAUGCGUAGAUAUCUGGAGGAACACCGGUGGCGAAGGCGGCAUCCUGGACCGGUAUUGACACUGAAAAGCGAAAGCCAGGGGAGCAAACGGG